rnacentral:rRNA from 1 species
CCUACGGGUGGCAGCAGUGGGGAAUAUUGCACAAUGGAGGAAACUCUGAUGCAGCGACGCCGCGUGAAGGAAGAAGUAUUUCGGUAUGUAAACUUCUAUCAGCAGGGAAGAAAAUGACGGUACCUGCCUAAGAAUCCCCUGCUACCUACGUCCCCGCAGCCGCGGUAAUACGUAGUGGGCAAGCGUUAUCCGGAUUUACUGGUGGUAACGGGGGCGUAGGCGGUUUAGCAAGUCAGAAGUGAAAGCCCGGGGCUCAACUCCGGGACUGCUUUUGAAACUGUUGAACUAGAUUGCAGGAGAGGUAAGUGGAAUUCCUAGUGUAGCGGUGGAAUGCGUAGAUAUUAGGAGGAACACCAGUGGCGAAGGCGGCUUACUGGACUGUAAAUGACGCUGAGGCUCGAAAGUGUGGGGAGCAAACAGGAUUAGAUACCCCAGUAGUC